rnacentral:rRNA from 1 species
GAUGAACGCUAGCUACAGGCUUAACACAUGCAAGUCGAGGGGAAACGACAUCGAAAGCUUGCUUUUGAUGGGCGUCGACCGGCGCACGGGUGAGUAACGCGUAUCCAACCUGCCCAUCACUUGGGAAUAACCUUGCGAAAGUAAGACUAAUACCCAAUGAUAUCCCACGAAGGCAUCGGAAUGGGAUUAAAGAUUUAUCGGUGAUGGAUGGGGAUGCGUCUGAUUAGCUUGUUGGCGGGGUAACGGCCCACCAAGGCAACGAUCAGUAGGGGUUCUGAGAGGCAGGUCCCCCACAAUGGAACUGAGACACGGUCCAAACUCCUACGGGAGGCAGCAGUGAGGAAUAUUGGUCAAUGGGCGAGAGCCUGAACCAGCCAAGUAGCGUGCAGGAAGACGGCCCUAUGGGUUGUAAACUGCUUUUAUAAGGGAAUAAAGUGGGUCACGUGUGACUUUUUGCAUGUACCUUAUGAAUAAGGACCGGCUAAUUCCGUG